GAUGAACGCUGGCGGCGUGCCUAACACAUGCAAGUCGAGCGAUUCUCUUCGGAGAAGAGCGGCGGACGGGUGAGUAACGCGUGGGUAACCUGCCCUGUACACACGGAUAACAUACCGAAAGGUAUGCUAAUACGAGAUAAUAUGCUUUUAUCGCAUGGUAGAAGUAUCAAAGCUCCGGCGGUACAGGGUGGACCCGCGGCUGAUUAGCUAGUUGGUAAGGUAACGGCUUACCAAGGCGACGAUCAGUAGCCGACCUGAGAGGGCGAUCGGCCACAUUGGAACUGAGACACGGUCCAAACUCCUACGGGAGGCAGCAGUGGGGAAUAUUGCACAAUGGGCGAAAGCCUGAUGCAGCAACGCCGCGUGAGCGAUGAAGGCCUUCGGGUCGUAAAGCUCUGUCCUCAAGGAAGAUAAUGACGGUACUUGAGGAGGAAGCCCCGGCUAACUUCGUGCCAGCAGCCGCCGUAAUAC
rnacentral:rRNA from 1 species